UAGAAGGUAGUGUAGUGGGAGCACAUAGAGUUUUGAUCUCUUUGGCGGAGGUUCGAUGCCUGCCCUUCUAG
rnacentral:tRNA from 1 species